rnacentral:rRNA from 1 species
GUGAGGUAAUGGCUCACCAAGGCGACGACGGGUAGCCGGCCUGAGAGGGCGAUCGGCCACACUGGGACUGAGACACGGCCCAGACUCCUACGGGAGGCAGCAGUGGGGAAUAUUGCACAAUGGGCGAAAGCCUGAUGCAGCGACGCCGCGUGAGGGAUGAAGGCCUUCGGGUUGUAAACCUCUUUCAGCAGGGAAGAAGCGCAAGUGACGGUACCUGCAGAAGAAGCACCGGCUAACUACGUGCCAGCAGCCGCGGUAAUACGUAGGGUGCAAGCGUUGUCCGGAAUUAUUGGGCGUAAAGAGCUUGUAGGCGGUUUGUCGCGUCUGCUGUGAAAUUUCGGGGCUCAACCCCGAACUUGCAGUGGGUACGGGCAGACUAGAGUGUGGUAGGGGAGACUGGAAUUCCUGGUGUAGCGGUGAAAUGCGCAGAUAUCAGGAGGAACACCGGUGGCGAAGGCGCCGCUCUGGGCCGAAACUGACGCUGAGGAGCGAAAGCAUGGGUAGCAAACAGGAUUAGAUACCCUGGUAGUCCAUGCCGUAAACGUUGGGCACUAGGUGUGGGUUCCAACCAACGGAAUCCGCGCCGUCGCUAACGCAUUAAGUG